CGGAGCCGCGGGCCGCGGGAAGGGGAGGAGCGCCGCGCGGCGCCCCGCGCGCAGGGAGGCAGAGAUGGAGCGUACAUCUCCCAGCUCCCGCAUCAAACCUGGAUACACGUCCGCGGAGAAAACGAAACGCCUCUCAUUUUUCUGGGAUGUGCUCUUUUUGGACAAACUUUGCUCAGGGUGUCCGCAGAUCCAGCUGGGACACUGUGAAGCCCUUUUGGGUUCUCAGUUGGGUUGAACUCUGGAAGGGAGGGUCUCUGGAGCUGAGGGAUGUUGAGCUGGGUUUGGGCUCCGCUCGGCAAGGCUCAAAGACUUUUUCCACGAGGGAGUCCCUCCCUCCCGAGGGGAAAAUCCGUCCCGAAUACGACACCGAGUGACUGCGCAUCCAGAAUGUGCCAGGUGUGAUAGGCUCAUCUGUAAAUAAAACAAAGACCCCGCUCUCAAGAAUCUUGUGUCCUUGGGGCCGCACAGAAAAUGAAAACUAAGCUCUAUGCACACAUAGUUUGGGGUUGGAUUUUUUUGCAACCUGCUAUGCACGUGAGCCUCCAGUACCAUCUAUGGCGUGUGUCUGAGAGCGCUAAACCCUGCAAAGCUCAGGCGGUGACAGAUGAAGACCUGAUGGGACGACUUCCAACGCUCUGAGUUCGGGCCUUGCCCAGAGCCCCGGAUCCUUGAGUCCUCCCUCUGAAUCGGACCAGUCGCUCGCGUAAAUGAGGUCUUCCGGGAUAGGCCAUUGAAUUCCUGAUGUGUCAGAAAGGAGGCAGAGGAAUCCGACCCGCGUUCCCCUUGGGGAUGGAGUCCUGUUUGCAGGACGAUGAGAUAUGCUGAGUGUAUCUGUCAUUUGGUAACAGGCUCCUAUAGAGGGCGUUAUUUUCCUAGUGGUUUGAAACUCCAGUGGUUUCAAAUGAUGCUCAUUUAUUAUCUUGGCGGUUGUGGUGGUCAGAAGUCCAAAGCGGAUCUUCCGGGGCUAACAUCACAGUAUUAUCAGGGCUACUUUCCCCUGUGGAAGUUUUAGGGGCGAGUUGUUUCCUUGCCCUUUCCAGCUUUAGAGGGCGCCCAUGGUUUUUGUCUCUUGGCUCCCUAUUCAUCUUCAAAGCCAGCAGGUGGGGCAAGAUCUUAUCACGUGAUAUGGCUCUGCCCUCUCCCUUCGGCCUCCCUCUCCCACGUUGAAGGAUGCUUGUGAUCCUAUUGGGCCCACCUGGAUAAACUCUGUUGCAAGGUUGGCUGAUUAUCGAGCUUAAUUCCACGUGCAGCCUUAACACCUCUUGCUAUGUGAUGUAACAUACAGAUUCCUGGUUCAGACAGUGGGGAAGGGGCAUUGUGUCAUCAGGGGGCACAGAGGGAUCUCUUACUCUACCCACAUGUUGUUGCUCUCUGGCGAGCCCCAGGCUCCUGCCCUGCAAUGAAAAGAAGUGGAGGGAGGUUUGGGAAGAGCCCAGGAGCCUGGAAGAAGCCCGGCCAGCUCUGGAAUGCCGGUGGCUGGGAGGUGCCCUGCAGGGAAGAGAGGCCUGGGAUAAGGAAUGCUAAUGAAUUAUCUGAGUGGAGGAAAAAACUGAUUCUGAGCAAUAUUAAAAAAAAAAAAAAAAAAAAAA